CACGUAGGGGGCGAGCGUUGUCCGGAUUUAUUGGGCGUAAAGAGCUCGUAGGCGGCUCAGUAAGUCGGGUGUGAAAACUCCAGGCUCAACCUGGAGACGCCACCUGAUACUGCUGUGGCUAGAGUCCGGUAGGGGAGCAUGGAAUUCCUGGUGUAGCGGUGAAAUGCGCAGAUAUCAGGAGGAACACCAAUUGCGAAGGCAGCUCGCUGGGACGUUACUGACGCUGAGACGCGAAAGCUAGGGGAGCAAACAGG
rnacentral:rRNA from 1 species